GCUCAGGAUGAAGCUGGCGCAUCUUAACACAUACAAGUCGGACGGGAAGUGGUGUUUCCAGUGGCGGACGGGUGAGUAGCAGCGUAAGAACCUGCCCUUGGGAGGGGAACAACGGCUGCUGCUAAUACCCGUAGGCUGAGGAGCAAAAGGAGGAAUCCGCCGAGGAGGGGCUCGCGUCUGAUUAGCUAGUUGGUGAGGCAAUAGCUUACCAAAGGCGAUGAUCAGUAGCUGGUCGAGAGGAUGAUCAGCCACACUGGACUGAGACACGGCCCAGACUCCUACGGGAGGCAGCAGUGGGGAAUUUUCCGCAAUGGGCGAAAGCCCGACCGAACAAUGCAGCGUGGAGGUAGAAGGCCUACGGGUCCUGAACUUCUUUUCCCAGAGAAGAAGCAAUGACGGUAUGGGGAAUAAGCAUCGGCUAACUCUGUGCCAGCAGCCGCGGUAAUCUGAGGAUGCAAGCGUUAUCCGGAAUGAUUGGGAAUAAAGUCCCAGAGGGUGGCUUUUAAGUCCGCCAUCAAAUCCAGGGCUCAACCCUGGACAGGCGGUGGAAACUACCAAGCUUGAGUACGGUAGGGCAGAGGGAAUUUCGGUGGAGCGGUGAAAUGCGUAGAGAUCGGAAAGAACACCAACGGCGAAAAGCACUCUGCUGGGCGACACUGACACUGAGAGACGAAAGCUAGGGAAGCGAAUGGGAUUAGAUACCAAAGGUCCUAGCCGAAAGCGAUGGAUACUAGGCGUUGUGCGUAUCGACCCGUGCAGUGCUGUUGUAGCUAACGCGUUAAGUAUCCGCCUGGGGAGUACGUUUAAAGAAUGAAACUCAAAAGAAUUGACGGGGGCCCGCACAAGGGUGGAGCAUGUGGUUUAAUUCGAUGCAAAGCGAAGAAGAACCACGGGGCUUUACAUGCCGCGAAUCCUCUUGAAAGAGAGGGGUGCCUUGAGAACGCGGACAGGUGGUGCAUGGCUGUCAAUAGUAUUUCGUGCCGUAAGGUGUUGGGUUAAGUCCCGCAACGGCGCCAACCCUCGUGUUUGUUGCCACCGUUGGAGUUUGGAACCUCGAACAGACUGCCGGUGAUAAGCCCGGAGGAAGGUGAGGAUGACGUCAAGUCAUCAUGCCCCUUAUGCCCUGGGCGACAUACACGUGCUACAAUGGCGGGACAAAGGGUGCGAUCCCUUGAGGGUGAGCUAACUCAAAAACCCGUCCUCAGUUGGGAUUGCAGGCUGCAACUCGCCUGCAUGAAGCCGGAAUCGCUAAUCCUCGCCCGGUCCACCAUGCGGCGGGUGAAUUCGUUCCGGCCUUGUACACCGCCCGUCACACUAUGGGAGCUGGCCAUGCCCGAAGUCGUUACCUUAACCGCAGGGGAGGGUGCCGAAGGCAGGGCUAGUGACUGGAGUGAAGUCGUAACAAGGUAGCCGUCUUGGAAGGUGGCUG
rnacentral:rRNA from 1 species